rnacentral:rRNA from 1 species
GACAGAGGCCCCAAGCGUUAGGCGGAAUCACUGGGCUUAAAGCGUGCGCAGGCGGCUUUGCAAGACAGAUGUGAAAUCCCCGGGCUCAACCUGGGAACUGCAUUUGUGACUGCAUGGCUGGAGUGCGGCAGAGGGGAUGGAAUUCCGCGUGUAGCAGUGAAAUGCGUAGAUAUGCGGAGGAACACCGAUGGCGAAGGCAAUCCCCUGGGCCUGCACUGACGCUCAUGCACGAAAGCGUGGGGAGCAAACAGG